UCCCUCUUCCCCACUUCCCAGUAGCGCGGGUUCCGCUCCGCCCGCGGGGCCCCGCCCCCGCCACCCCCACCGCCUCGCCCCCGCCCGGCUCCCUGCCCCGCCCCGCCCGCCCGCCGUCCCCCGCUUGCCUUCCAGCGCCGCUUGCGCUCGGUAGCGCUGGCUCUGCCGGCGCUGAGAAAUGGACCAAUUUUGACAAGAUGUAAUGCUACAAGUGUGCCUGAUGGGAUAUAUUCAGUCAUGGCAUCUGAACUUUGUAAGACGAUCUCUGUGGCAAGGCUGGAAAAGCACAAGAAUUUGUUCUUAAAUUACAGGAAUCUGCACCAUUUUCCUUUGGAGUUACUAAAAGAUGAGGGACUGCAGUACUUGGAGAGACUCUAUAUGAAAAGGAACUCCCUGACAACCUUGCCAGAAAACCUUGCUCAGAAGCUUCCAAACCUUGUGGAACUAUACCUGCACUCAAAUAACAUAGUUGUGGUACCAGAAGCCAUUGGGUCCCUUGUAAAACUCCAAUGUCUGGAUCUUAGUGACAAUGCCUUAGAAAUAGUUUGCCCAGAAAUUGGUCGUCUGAGAGCUUUACGUCAUCUUCGAUUAGCUAAUAACCAGCUGCAAUUCCUACCUCCAGAGGUUGGCGAUUUGAAGGAGCUGCAGACACUAGACAUUUCUACCAAUCGUUUGCUAACUUUACCCGAGAGGCUUCACAUGUGCCUUUCUCUGCAGUACCUCACCGUGGACCGAAAUCGUCUAUGGUAUGUGCCGCGCCAUCUCUGCCAGCUGCCCAGCCUCAAUGAGCUCUCCAUGGCUGGAAACCGUCUUGCAUUUUUGCCACUUGAUUUAGGUCGAUCUCGAGAACUACAAUAUGUGUACGUGGAUAACAACAUAAACCUGAAAGGCUUGCCAUCUUAUCUGUACAAUAAAGUCAUCGGGUGCAGUGGCUGUGGUGCUCCCAUUCAAGUUUCUGAGGUGAAGCUGCUUUCCUUUUCAUCAGGGCCUCGAACCGUUUUCCUCCCAGCCGAGGUGAAGGCCAUAGGGACAGAGCAUGAUCACAUCCUCCCUCUGCAGGAAUUGGCCAUGAGAAGUCUGUAUCAUACCUACCACAGGUUUCUGAAAGAUUUGAACUUUCUGUCUCCAAUCUCAUUACCCAGAAGUCUCCUGGAGCUGCUGCACUGCCCUCUGGGGCACUGUCAUCGGUGUAGUGAGCCUAUGUUUACCAUCGUCUACCCCAAGCUCUUUCCCUUGAGAGAGACGCCAAUGGCAGGGCUGCACCAGGGGCAGUAUGGGGCAGUGUUCAGAGCAUGGACUUUGCACCUGACAAGCCUGGCUCUUCUGCUGUGAGAACGUGGAUGGGCUAUGGUACUUCUCAAAAUGGGGAUACAACAGCCUGCGUGACAGGGCCAUGUGAGGCUUGGCAGAUGAGAAAGGCACACACCUGGCACUUAAGAGGAGGACAACUGUUAGUUUUGUGGCUUACUGCUGCUCCACCCAGUGUCUGCAGACUUUUGACCUGCUGAGUUGAUAAACACCCAGGAGCCUCAGGAGCACUGCCAGCUUGACGCUAGGGAAUCCGGCCAGUCCAGAACAGACUCUUCCAUCCUGUCCUGUCCAAGGCGGGGCACUGUGGAACUCUCUGGAAAUGUCAAGAUUGGGCUUCAGAGCUAAAAUGCCUCACCCUUCCCCCAAGUUGGAAUAUAUCCUCCCCCAAAUUAAGGA